rnacentral:misc_RNA from 1 species
GAUGAAGAACGCAGCGAAAUGCGAUAAGUAAUGCGAAUUGCAGAAUUCAGUGAAUCAUCGAAUCUUUGAACGCACAUUGCGCCCGCCAGUAUUCUGGCGGGCAUGCCUGUCUGAGCGUCGUUUCGACCCUCGCGCCCGGCUUCUGUCGGGGGCGGUGUUGGGGAUCGGCCACACCCUUCAGUGGGAGGCCGGCCCCUAAAUUCAGUGGCGACCACGCUGUAGCCUCCCCUGCGUAGUACUAAAACCACCUCGCAGGCGGAGAGCGGUGCGGCCCGCCGUAAAACCCCCCAACUUUUACAAGGUCGACCUCAGAUCAGGUAGGAAUACCCGCUGAACUUAAGCAUAUCAAUAAGCGGGGA